GAUGCCCCUCCGCUACAACAACGUGUGCCCAAUGCUCAGUGGUUUACCAGGGUUCUUAAGGAUUAUCAUGUCCAGCGGCCCCGACGAUUUGUAAGUUUUCAUCAGUUAGUGAUCUUAAUUUCUAUAUUUAAGAAAAAAUUACAAGUUUUUACGAUUAAUGUUGUGUACUUGUCAAUUCCCGAUAAUGCAGUCAUUUCCAGCUCAGUUUAAGUGGAGACUUAGACGUGCAAAGAUCUUAGAAGUGCUUCGUCAGCACGGUGGACGCUGGGUUGGACGGAGGGUAUAUGACCACCAUCGCCACUAUGCUAUUCACCAUGGACUAUGGAGGACAAUUGUGG
rnacentral:lncRNA from 1 species